GACGAACUGUCCAAACGUUGUUCGGAAUCACUGGGCUUAAAGGGCGCGUAGGCGGUCAAUCAAGUCAGGGGUGAAAUCCUGCAGCUUAACUGUAGAAGUGCCUUUGAUACUGGUCGUCUCGAGGGAGGUAGGGGUGUGUGGAACUUCCAGUGGAGCGGUGAAAUGCGUUGAUAUUGGAAGGAACGCCGGAGGCGAAAGCGACGCACUGGACCUCUUCUGACGCUGAGGCGCGAAAGCUAGGGGAGCAAACGGG
rnacentral:rRNA from 1 species